CGGCGCCUGGAGCCCAUGGAGCCCGCGGCCGGAGCGCCCCGGGGGAGCGGCGGCGCCGAGGCGCUGCUGGGCGAACUGGAGGCGAGGGUCCAGGACGUGGUGAGGGCGAGCUCGUGGUGGGAGCGCCAUGGCGUGGACUGCGCCAUCCUCGCGCUCAGCCUCCUUGCCUUGCCGCCCGGGUUCCUGUGCCUGCGCUCAGACAAUCUUCCGGUCUUUGCCCUGGGCAUCACCAUCCUGGGUGUGUGCCACUACACGCUCACUGUCAAGGGCAGCCACCUGGCCACUCAUGGUGCCCUCACCGAGUCCAAACGCUGGAGCAAGAUCUGGGCGCUCUUCUUCGUGGAGGUGUGCACAUCCUUCACUGCAGAGUACGCCAAGUACGGGCACGUCAAAAUGCACCAUGGCUACACCAACGUGCUGGGCCUGGGGGACUCCAGCACGUGGAGGCUGCCCUGCCUCAACCGCUAUGUCUACAUGUUCCUCGCUCCUCUCUUGAUCCCCCUCAUAACGCCGCUGGUGGCUGUCGAGCGGCUGAGAGAGGUGGAGCUCAGGACGGCCCUGCGGACGCUGGGCCUGAUUUCCCUGGGCCUUUAUUCUCACUACUGGCUGCUCCUGAACGUGUCUGGCUUCCAGAGCCCCGGCUCGGCCCUGGUCUGCAUGUUCAUCACCAGAUCCCUGCUGGCCCACCCUUACCUCCACGUCAACAUCUUCCAGCACAUCGGACUGCCCAUGUUCUCCCGGGACAAGAAGCCCCGACGGAUUCACAUGAUGAGCCUGGGAGUGCUUAACCUGCCCCGGCUGCCCGUGCUGGACUGGGCAUUUGGCCACUCCCUCAUCAGCUGCCACGUGGAGCAUCACCUCUUCCCCAGGCUCUCUGACCACAUGUGCCUGAAGGUGAAGCCCGUGGUGUCCCAGUUCCUUCAUGAGAAGCAGCUGCCAUACAACGAGGACUCCUACCUGGCUCGCUUCCGGCUGUUUCUCAAUCGCUACGAGGAGUUCAUGGUGCAGACGCCCCCCAUCACAGAGCUGGUGGGGCUGCAAUGAUGGGUGGACUGGCACAGUCACCCUGCCCUCCCUCCCAGGCCCAACCCUGGCUCUCCUGCUUCUGCUGGUCAUCCCUGGGGCCGGGAGGGCACAGGCCCUUGCCCAUGAAGUCCUUGGAUGAGGCGAAGGGCACGCUGACCCUGACCAUGGGGAGGCUAAAUGCCAGCAGAAGGGGUGGCAGAGGAGUCAGACGGCAGGUGAAGGCAUUCUCUGAGCCUGGUCAUGUUGAAAAAACCAUCUCUGGUGUGGCCUUGGUUGGCUGUGCUGGCUACCUGUCUCCAGAUCCAUUCCCCUCUUCUCCACCCUGCCUUCCUCCCCCAAAGCCCACAGCUGCUGUCUGGCACCCUCUCCUCCAGCUACAGCUCUCACUGCUUCCAAAACAGCUCUCUCCUUUUGCUUUUUCAGGGCCUGGGGGGGAGUGGCUUCUGGCUGUUGCUUGCCCAGGAGUGCUUCACCAUUUCUUUAAUCCUGCUACACCUCUGUACAAAACCCCUUCAUUAAACUCUCUUCAAUCAGCCCCUUUGAACAGACCAUCUGUUUCCUGUUGGGAGGCUGACUGAUAGAGCAGAGUUUGGGAUCCAAGCAGCCCUUUUGGAAUGACGCAGGUUUGGCAGCCUCCUGCUUUGCUAUAGGUUACUGCUGCUCUUUGGAAAUGCAUUAGCAACUCAAAAAUGGCCUUAAGGUCUGGGAAUGCGAUCAAUCAAACUGCUAAUUCCCCAUAUGAAAAAUGCAAUGUCAGAAAAGGCCCCAUUGCACAGUCCUGGCUAAUGAUUAAAACCAUCCUAAAAUGACUCACUGUUAUUGAUCUGGGCCCAAGUGCGAAAAGGACUGCAGCUGGACACCCUGGUACCAGAUGUGGCUGUACAACAGGCGCCCAGGAACAAGUCACUCCAUCACUUUGAGGCUUAAUUUUCUGUUGCUUGAUUUCUCUGAGGAUGAGUUGGGAAUGAGUGGGGCUGGCGAAAUGAGGGGAGAUGACAGGAGUGAAUCAAGCCCUUCCAAGGCUCUGCAGUGACCUCAGGUCUAAUUUACAGAGGCACGUCGGAGGUCAUAACAUUGAUGAUGAUGGUAGCAAAUGCCUGUUCAGAACUUGUGGCCCUUGUUUAUCUAUGCUAUCUAAUUUUCAUCUUUACAAGAAGUUGGUACUAUUUUCCCCUCACAUUACGUAUUGUGAAGAUAAGCCUUGGAGAGAUUAAACCUAUCAAUGUCAUAUAGCUAGUAAGUGGAGGAAGAAAGAUUCAAACCUAGUGUGUCUGAUUCCAGAAUCCUUUCUCUUAACCACCAGACAUACUACCCCUGGGUAGGGAGCCCUAUAGGGCUUUCUGGGGUUUCUGAUCCUGAAUCUCCUUCUGUUUCUCCCAUGUGCGAGGAUAACAAAUGGAUCAUUAAGACAAACUCUUGAUGAACUUCCAUUAUGUACCACAUACCGUGCAAAGCUCUGGGGAUGUAAGAGUGAAUGAUUUAGAGAUUUGCAGAUACUAACUACUAUAUGGAAAACAGAUAAACAACAAGUUUCUACUGUAUAGCACAGGCAACUAUAUUCAAUAUCUUUUAGUAACCUAUAAUGAAAAAGAAUAUGAAAAGGAAUACAUGUAUGUAUACGUAUGACUGAAACAUUAUGCCAUACACCAGAAAUUGACAAAAAAACCAAAAACAAAACAGUGAAUGAAAUUGGGCCCCAGUCUCCUGGAGCUUGUUGUCUUGUGCAGGAAUUUACAAACUUUUCCAGUCAAAGGCCAGAGAGUAAAUAUUUUGUAGAUGAUACAGUCUCUGUCACAACUACUCAACGGCACCAUCAAAGUGCAAAACAGCCAGAGACAAUAUGUAAAGAA